rnacentral:lncRNA from 1 species
AUUUAGUAUAAAAAAUGUUCCUCUUGCCAUUACCAAAAUAGUUAAUAGUAUAUUAGUAUUUUAUAAAAUAUAUUAUUUGUCUCUCUAGGGUCCCAAAGGAAAAGCAGGGAUUCCAGGGGCAGCAGGAAAACCAGGCUUGCCAGGACUUCCAGGAGUGGAUGGUUUGACAGGACCCGAUGGCCCCGCUGGGAAGGAUGGACCCCCAGGUGAACCAGGUGAACCUGGACCAUCUGGACCUCCUGGACCUCCUGUAAGUACCACAUUCUAAGGAACACCUCAUUUUCUAAUUUUGACUAUCAAAAUGUUUUAAUGAAAAGGG